GAUGAACGCUGGCGGCGUGCCUAAUACAUGCAAGUCGAGCGAACAGACGAGGACUUUGCUCCUUUGACGUUAUCGGCGGAGGGGAGAGUCACAUGUGGGUAACCUACCUAUACGACGGGGAUAACUUCGGGAAACCAGAGCUUAUACCGGAUCAUAUUUCGAACCGCGAUGUUCGAUAGUGAAAGAUGACUCUUCUAUUACCUAAUGAUCGACCUGCGUAUUAUUAACUAGUUGGUAGGGUAACGGAUUACCAAGGCAACGAUACGUAGACGACCUAGGAGGGUGUUCGGCCACCUUGGAACUGAGACACGGUCCAGACUCCUAGGGGGGGCGCCGGCAGGGAAUCUUCCGCAAGGGGGGAAGGCCUAACGGAGCACCGCCGGGUGAGGAAUGAGGGUCUCCGGAUCUUAAAAUUCUGUUAUUAGGGAAGAAGAAACGUGUAAUUAACUGUGCACGUCUUGACGGUACCUUAUCAGAAAGCCACGGCUAACUACGUG
rnacentral:rRNA from 1 species